rnacentral:ncRNA from 1 species
GUCCGAGGGGUGCCGUAUGGCUGAGAGGAUAAUUCUGACCCUUUGAACCUGAUCCGGUUAAUGCCGGCGUAGGAAUAGGAUAUUCUU